AACCUCCACUAGAGCUAGUAUAACCAUUCACACUAUAUCGACCUUGAUAAGAAGUACUACAAGGUGGAGGAUAUGAAUCUUCACACUCCUCACAUUUACUCUCAUCAUAGCUCUCAUAAGCUUUGCGAACGAAAGGGUUAUACCUAACACCAAAUCUAAGUUCAGAGUGAGAAGUGUAAGACUCCUCACUAUGCCUCAAUGUCAUCAUAAGAUCUAUCACGAGGUCCUACAUUAUAUCCAAGUUCACCAUAAGAACUAGG
rnacentral:lncRNA from 1 species